GCUGAUCCCACAUCAAGGACGGAAAAAGAUCUGAUUGCCUUGCCUAAACAUGCUCUGCCUCAUCCCUCUGUCCCAUAUCUGUUCCCGAGAGGAGCUCCCGAUGUCUGGGAUACCCCAGCUCUGCUGUCUGGAGGUUGUGGAAAUUCACAAUCCCGUAGCCACAAUUUUAGUUCUACCCUACAACUACGCUGCUUUUCCAGCUUCCCGUAAUUUGAUCGCUCCCUUGUUGCUUUUUGAUGUCUCCAGCAGAAGCAGCUGCGCAGCCCUCGCUUCCCCUUCUGCCGCCGGGCUGAGUCACCAUGUACACACCGAUUAAUGUCAAACUCCACCUCUCCUUUGAGGUAUUAAUUUUGGAUGAAAUCUUCUAUUUCCUCUUCGCUGAAACAGAAGCGUGUGGAGCCUUGAGCUCUUAGUUGCUGUCCUGGCUGUGGGGUGAUGGACACAAAAACAUCAAAUACACACCGAUGGAAGGGACGCUGAGUGAUUAAAUCAAAUUGGGAGACGGCAAUGGCAUUAACCGGGGGCGGUUUUGGAACCGGAGACUUCCAAGCCCAGUUACAAACAAGUCCCUUGACACCAGAUCAGGCCAAAUAUUCAAUCAACCACACGCCACAGGCUCGGGGGCCAGGCUUGUCCCAAAAGAACCCGAAGGGAAGAGCAGGGGCUGGAGCUCUCGGGCGCAGCUGCCACAAGAGGUCCCUGCACGCCCGCUGGAGAGCUGGGAGCUCCAUCCGAUGGGAUUCUCAUUCCCACCUUAUUUGGAGAUACUGCCUUUUUCACCCAGAUUUCCAGAAGUUUUCCGACUGUCCCCAAACGACCUCGUUUUGUGCGGAGAGGCAGCGGAGCCUGGUGCCGGGUGGCUGCUGUGCCUGCUCCCAGCAGGGCAGGGGACUCCCUGCAGACACCAGCAAGGACGAGCCCAGGUCCAUCCCAAAAUGCCACAGUGGGGACUUUCCAGCAGCAGCCGGGGUGUAAAUCGAGGGACUUGGCACAAGGGACUUGUUGGAGAAACCUGUGUUGACAGCAGAGUGUCCCUAAGGAUGCUGCAGGGUCAGCUGUUGCUCCAGGGCUUGGGCUGGACCAUCAGUCAUGAACCAGUGGCACAAAGGAUGUGUUCUCUCCUCCCUCCAGCUGCACAGGUAUGCCAUGGGAUAAGUAAAAUUCCAUUGACUGGCAAAUCCCAGCAUGAACAGGUCUCCACUGCUUUCAGCAGCUGCCAUGCCCCAAAUAUUACCCUCAAAAGUUUUGAUUUUUUGAGCUGUUGAUGUGCUGCUAUUUGUAAGGUUUCAGGUUUCUUCUUUCCUUUGCCAGUGUUCACUGUGAAGUGGUGCCAGGUGUCUGCCAGGCCUGUAUCCCAUCUCUCACCAUCACCAGACAUGAAUGUUAGGAAGAAAAUGGGAAACACCACAUAUAAUUAUUCUUCCCCUGUAAGCAAAUUCAUUCCCAGUAAAUAUUUAAUUUUCCUCGUCUUCUUCCCUUGUGGGAUAAACAAUUUUUUCCCUGUUUAAUUCACCAGUCUCAAGCUUAAGUAAUUUUGGAUGAAUAUGCAUGUGCUUUGUGAUGACCUCACCAUGCAUUUGUUGGGGUUUUUUUGCACUUCAGACAGGUUAAAAAUGAAUCCUCCAAGGUGGAGGCACGUCCCAGCCCCUACACCCAGUUCAGCAUCACACCCUCUAAACCCACUCAAUUCCUCUUGUUUUACAAAUACAAGCCCAGG